rnacentral:rRNA from 1 species
CCUACGGGAGGCUGCAGUGGGGAAUAUUGCACAAUGGGGGAAACCCUGAUGCAGCGACGCCGCGUGAGCGAUGAAGUAUUUCGGUAUGUAAAGCUCUAUCAGCAGGGAAGAAAAUGACGGUACCUGACUAAGAAGCCCCUGCUAACUACGUGCCAGAAGCCGCGGUAAUACGUAGGGGGCAAGCGUUCUCCGGAUUUACUGGGAGUAAGGGGAGCGUAGACGGCUUGGCAAGCCGGAUGUGAAAGGCUGGGGCUCAACCCGAGGACUGCAUUUGGAACUGUCAUGCUAGAGUGUCGGAGAGGCAGGCGGAAUUCCUAGUGUAGCGGUGAAAUGCGUAGAUAUUAGGAGGAACACCAGUGGCGAAGGCGGCCUGCUGGACGAUGACUGACGUUGAGGCUCGAAAGCGUGGGUAGCAAACAGGAUUAGAUACCCCUGUAGUC